GUGCUUUGGCAGCACAUAUACUGAAGUUGGAACAAUACAGAGAAGAUGGCCUCUUGCAAAGGAUGACAUGCAAAUAUGUGAAGCAUUCCAUAUUUUG
rnacentral:snRNA from 1 species